GGCUUGUUAGCUCAAUUGGUAAGAGCGCUGCACUAAUAUCGCAGAGGUCAGUGGUUCGAAUCCCGUACAGGCCU